rnacentral:rRNA from 1 species
UAAUACGGAGGGUGCAAGCGUUAAUCGGAAUUACUGGGCGUAAAGCGCAUGCAGGCGGUUUGUUAAGCGGGAUGUGAAAGCCCCGGGCUCAACCUGGGAACUGCAUUUCGAACUGGCAAACUAGAGUUCUUGAGAGGGUGGUAGAAUUUCAGGUGUAGCGGUGAAAUGCGUAGAGAUCUGAAGGAAUACCAGUGGCGAAGGCGGCCACCUGGCAAGUAACUGACGCUCAGAUGCGAAAGCGUGGGUAGCAAACGGGAUUAGAUACCCCGGUAGUCCACGCCGUAAACGAUGUCUACUCGGAGUUUGGUUCCUUGAGAACUGGGCUCUUAAGCUAACGCAUUAAGUAGACCGCCUGGGGAGUACGGCCGCAAGGUUA